rnacentral:lncRNA from 1 species
CCGGGAAGGGGCAGUCCGUGUGAGGGCGAUCUUAGUUUUAAGGGUUUCUCUCCUGCACUCAGGCGGACCUGGACUUGGGAAGUACAAGGAGGGGUCAGGCUGGGUCGGCGGGGUGCUGCGGACCACUGUUGACCACAAGUAACUAAAACAAUGGAAAGUGAAACCCUGGAUAAGAGGAGAACUACUGUGUAACUGAAGACCCAUGUGUGCCACACCACGAAUGACCUCUCCCUGUGCCCCCAGGUAAUGACUCUCCUGAAUUGAGUGUUUAUUAUCCCCACGCAACUUUGUUUCUUUUGUUAAAGUGAUGCUUGAGAUCAAACUUGUGGCCUUGUGAGUGCUAAAUACCCAUUUUACCCCUGGGAUAUGUGCCCAGUCUCCUUUGCAACUUUUUAUUGAUAUAUAAUUCAUACCAUAAAUUCAGUGCUUUUUAUUAUAUUUAUA